GGUUUUAUGAAAGAUAAUAUAAAAUCAGGCCUGCUCAGUGUGGAAUAAAUAGCCGCAGUAUUUUGACUGUGCGAAGGUAGCGUGAUAAUUUGGCUAUUAAUUGUAGUCUUGAAUGAAUGGUUAGACAUAAGAUUUUCUGUUUUAUUUAUAAAUAUGAAUUUUAAUAAUCAGUAAAAAUGCUGAUAUGGGACAUAAAGACGAGAAGACCCUAUUGAGUUUUAUGUUUAAUUAUAAAGUAUAUUUGGUUGGGGCGACUAAUAAAAAACAUUAAAAGAAAGAUCCAUUAGUAAUGAUUAAUAGAAUAAAUUACCAUAGGGAUAACAGCAUAAUUUUGUUAGAGAGUUCAUAUCAAUAAUAAAGUUUGUGACCUCGAUGUUGAAUUAAGAUACCUAGUUGGCGCAGGAGCUGAAAAAGGUAGACUGUUCGUCUAUUAAAUUCUUACA
rnacentral:rRNA from 1 species